UGGUUAAACACAUACCCAUCUAAAUUUUUUUAUAGCCUUCCAUGUUAAACUAUAAGUAAAUAAUUAGUUUUAAAAUUGUUUUGUAUUUUCUUAUUCCUGUUCCCUUUACCCUUUGACAACUUGAAAUGUUACCACUUCGUCCUCAUGAUGUUCUUCUAUCAACCCUGCUUAGGAUGAGAACAAGUUGAGCAGUGCCAACGGCCAUGAAGAACGUAGCAAAAAACAAACUUUCUGCCUCCUUGGAAAGCUCUACAUCUCCUUGUGAUUGGAGUGUGGGUUUCAAGAUUCCAGAAGGAGGAAAAAAAGCAAGAGCAGAAGUCGUAGUCAUGAACGAAAGAGAAGCAAAAGUAAGGAACGGAAACGAAGUAGA
rnacentral:sRNA from 1 species